AGGCCCAUAGUUAAAUUGGCUAUAACGGCGGUCUCCAAAACCGCUAUUGGGGGUUCGAGUCCCUCUGGGCCUGCCU
rnacentral:tRNA from 1 species